GAUGAACGCUAGCGGCAGGCUUAACACAUGCAAGUCGAGGGGUAUAGUUCUUCGGAACUAGAGACCGGCGCACGGGUGCGUAACGCGUAUGCAAUCUACCUUUUACAGAGGGAUAGCCCAGAGAAAUUUGGAUUAAUACCUCAUAGUAUAUAGACCUGGCAUCAGGAUUAUAUUAAAGUCACAACGGUAAAAGAUGAGCA
rnacentral:rRNA from 1 species